rnacentral:rRNA from 1 species
ACACAUGCAAGUCGAACGCGAAAGGGACUUCGGUCCCGAGUAGAGUGGCGCACGGGUGAGUAACGCGUAAGUAAUCUACCCCUGUAUCUGGAAUAACCCACCGAAAGGUGAGCUAAUACCGGAUACGUUUAUCUUGAUGCGAAUGAUGAUAAAGAAAGGUGGCCUCUUCAUGAAAGCUACCGUACAGGGACGAGCUUGCGUACCAUUAGCUGGUUGGUAGGGUAAUGGCCUACCAAGGCGACGAUGGUUAGCGGGUCUGAGAGGAUGAUCCGCCACACUGGAACUGAAACACGGACCAGACUCCUACGGGAGGCAGCAGUGAGGAAUAUUGCGCAAUGGGGGCAACCCUGACGCAGCGACGCCGCGUGGACGAUGAAGGCCCUUGGGUCGUAAAAUCCUGUCAGAUGGAAAGAAAUGUACAGGUGUUAAUAUCGCCUGUAUUUGACGGUACCAUCAAAGGAAGCACCGGCUAACUCCGUGCCAGCAACCGCGGUAAUACGGAGGGUGCGAGCGUUGUUCGGAAUUACUGGGCGUAAAGCGCGCG